rnacentral:rRNA from 1 species
AUUGAACGCUGGCGGCAGGCCUAACACAUGCAAGUCGAGCGAGCGGCGGACGGGUGAGUAAUGUAUGGGGACUGCCCGAUAGAGGGGGAUAACUACUGGAAACGGUGGCUAAUACCGCAUACUAUCGGUUAACCCAUAGGGGGUUAGCUAGUAGGUGGGGUAACGGCUCACCUAGGCGACGAUCUCUAGCUGGUCUGAGAGGCUUAUCGGCCACACGGGAACUGGGAAAGGGCCAAGAUUCGUACGGGGGGAGGAGGGGGGAAUAUUGGAAAAGGGGCAAAAGCCGGAUGCAGACAUGCCGCGUGUAUAAAGAGGGCCUUGGGGUGGUAAAGUAUGUUCAGCGGGGAGAGGUUCCCGAAGAAGAAGCACCGGCUAACUCCGUGCCAGCAGCCGCGGUAAUAC